CCUACGGGGUGCAGCAGUGAGGAAUAUUGGUCAAUGGACGAGAGUCUGAACCAGCCAAGUAGCGUGAAGGAUGACUGCCCUAUGGGUUGUAAACUUCUUUUAUAUGGGAAUAAAAUGUUCCACGUGUGGGAUUUUGUAUGUACCAUAUGAAUAAGGAUCGGCUAACUCCGUGCCAGCAGCCGCGGUAAUACGGAGGAUCCGAGCGUUAUCCGGAUUUAUUGGGUUUAAAGGGAGCGUAGGUGGAUUGUUAAGUCAGUUGUGAAAGUUUGCGGCUCAACCGUAAAAUUGCAGUUGAAACUGGCAGUCUUGAGUACAGUAGAGGUGGGCGGAAUUCGUGGUGUAGCGGUGAAAUGCUUAGAUAUCACGAAGAACUCCGAUUGCGAAGGCAGCUCACUGGACUGCAACUGACACUGAGGCUCGAAAGUGUGGGGAUCAAACAGGAUUAGAUACCCCAGUAGUC
rnacentral:rRNA from 1 species